UACGUAGGGGCCAAGCGUUGUCCGGAUUUAUUGGGCGUAAAGAGCUCGUAGGCGGUUCGGCAAGUCAGCUGUGAAAUCUCCACGCUCAACGUGGAGGGGUCAGCUGAUACUGCUGUGACUUGAGUCCGGUAGGGGAGUGUGGAAUUCCCGGUGUAGCGGUGAAAUGCGCAGAUAUCGGGAGGAACACCAGUAGCGAAGGCGGCACUCUGGGCCAGUAUUGACGCUGAGGAGCGAAAGCGUGGGGAGCGAACAGG
rnacentral:rRNA from 1 species